GGCAUGCUGUCGUUUCAAUCUCUCUCCAGUGGUGGUAUCCCUACAAAGGAGCUGGAUUAGGUGACGUCAUCGUUUUUAUGUUUCUAAAUCUGAAGAGCAGGUUGAUGUGUUAUACAACAGAGAAAGAAAAAGGAUGGCUGUGUCAUCAGUAACAUGCCCCAUUUCAAGAAGCAGCCAGUGUUCACUAGGGAGUUUAUUCACCACAGAGAUGUAGAAAGAUUGGAAGCAAAAAUGCUGACACACGUUUGCACAGAGAACAAUUGCAACAUUAGUCCGGGGAGUUGAACCAAAACUGCCCUUUGCCUUUCUCCACCUGUUGGGGUUGGAGGGGAGCUGGAAUGCCUUAUCUUGCCCUCCAGACACACUUACUUAGGGUAGAACAAAUACCAGACAGGGAUGUGGUAACUAAAGGCUCAUUUAUUUCUCACGUUAUCUACUGAAUGCAGUGUACAAAGUCUCAAGCCUUGUGGUAUGGGGCCCAGGACAAGAAACCAUAUGCAGACUCUUCCCUCGGACGGUUUCUGUAGAAUAAGGAAGGAAACAUAAAUGACCUCAAAACAAGACAGAAAGUGAAGUGCCACAAGAGAGGAAGGUAACGUGCAGUGGCAGUUUAGACGAAGGUGUGAUUUCCUUGGUCUCGGAGGAUAAGGGAAAAGGGAUUCACAGAGGAGGUGGCAGGUGAGAUGGGCAGGAUUCGGAGGGCACAUGGCUCUGGGAAGAAAGAACAUCCCAGGCCGAGGAAACAACUGGGCUAAGGCUGUAAGUGGGAAAAUACAGGAGGUAGGCACAGAAUAGAGAAUUUAGUUUGUCUAUAGUAUAGGAUGCUUGAAGGUCAGACUUUUAACAGUAAUUUCUGUUAAUGCAGUUUAGAAAGCAUUCAUAAGAGUGUCUUUCAAUAAAGUGAAAUUCUUAUUAAUUAGCCAGUCACUUGUCUGACCCCCGUCUUACCUUUCGUGGCAGAAAAAGAUGUUUUCAGACAUAUAAAGCUACAUGGGUGUUGCAGCCACUGGCCAGGAGCCCACUAGGAAGCAUUUCAAGGAAUAAUGUUUGGCUUUUACGACUAAUGACCUGUCCUUGGUGCGUACAAUAUGAAAAGUUCUGCAAGCUACAGAGAAGCUAGUAAAAUCCACACUCCUUUCUUCCCAGAGCUUGCUAAGGCAGCUGCUUGAUUUUAAAUAUUCAAUUAAACAUUAACAGUAUGCAAUACUUGUACUGACAUAUCCGUGCCUCAUGCUGGAUUUCACAAUCCAGAUGUGUUGAAACAACUUUUCUGAUAGAUGUGGAUAGUGUAAUGAAAAAAAAAAAAGGGGGAGGGAGGAAGGAAGAAAAAGGGAGAGGGGGAAAAGUGGUUUCUUUUUGGUCCCCAUGUCUCCAUUUCUGCGUUUCAUAAUUCAGCUGAAUCUAGGAAGCAUAGUGUGAUGGCUUUCCGAAAAAGGAAGGAAGGUGUUUUACUGCCAAAUUGAAUAUAUAGAUUUGGCUGUGAUUUUUAAGCCACCUGGUAACAUAUUUCAGGAUCUCUCCUUUUGUGCCUGUAUCUUAGCUCCAUCUAGAUACGAAUGUGUACUGGACUUGAAUACAAUAAAAAGGCUGACUUUUUACUUCGCCUUGAAUCUCUAACAUUUUCUGCCUUAUGAAAAAUGUACACUGCAAUGUUGUGUUUGGCCCGGGCUCCUAAAAAAAAUCCUCCUUCAGGAGAAUUUGACCCUGUUCCCAUUGUUUUCUCAGCAUGUUUUCAGCAUCAGCACAUUGAUUAUGCUGUCAUUAGCCAGAAUCCUGAGACAGGAAAAAGACCUAUCAGAUCACCAAAGUCCGUUCCUGGAGCGGGCCUCGGUCCCCUGGGAGAGACUGGGACAUGGCAUCUUAGGCCAAUGACCAAGGCAGAUGUAAAGGCAUGUGAAAUUGUACCCUGCUACGGUUUUUAAUUUUUGCAAGUUUCUGCAAUAACUCCCGGGGACUCUUCAUAAGACAGUUACACUGCUGAAUUUGGGAUUGGGUAAACAGUGGAGUCCUAUCGACACAGUGGAAUACUACUUAACAAUGAAAAAAGAACUACUGAUACAUACGACAACUUGAAUGGAGCUCAAGGGCAUUAUGUUGAGUGAAAAAAGCCAGUCUCAAAAGAUCUAUCCAUGUUUUCAAAUUCUUUCAAUAAGUAGAAGAAUGCAUUCCAAGUGGAGGACUAUUAGGAAGAAAGAUCCAGGAUUGAUAUGACCCUGGAAUCAUCUAUGCACUUGAUUCUAAAAUGGAAAAUGUCCUUUAAAUGGAACAGGUUCCAGAUGAUCCUCUGAGGAGCUUCGCUUUGACGUGAAGCUGGACAGAGAUGAUCCAUUGCGAGCCAUUGACUCUGAUCUUCAAGGCUCUUAUUCUCAAAAGUCACAGAAGCAUCACCACAGUUGUCAACCUUUGAAGACUAAGGUAUUGCAACAUCGUGAUGAAGGCAAACUACAGUAGAUGCCAGAGUUGAAGACCAGUCCUCAAACCUCAGGUGGACCCUAGAAAAUCCCUCUGGAGAGACAAAUUCCUGAUGCCAGCCUUAAAACACUGUUCAAACUCUCUCCUUUCACCAGGCUGUAGGGAACAACCAACAGUUUGGCAAAGGACAACUUCCACCACGUUGACUCUGGCCAAUUGAGAUUCUAUUGUCUUCAGAGAAGAAUGCUCACGAGUAUAGAUGCUGAAUAACAUAGUGGAUCUCAAGGAAUUGUCCCCCCAAAUACUUUUUACUUACCAAAGGUAAAAUAAUAAUUUUACAGUGGGGAAACCUGGCAGACACCACCUUAACCAAAUGACCAAAGAUAACCUUGCAGCAAUGGGACUAAUCAGUAUUAGUCCCAUUGUCUCCUCAUAGGACGCUCUGAGAAGAACUCAGCCUUAUUCCUGUGAUAUUCUACCAAAAGCGCAUGACUUGAAUCUAGUCAUAAGGAAACAUCCAACAAAUCUGAGUAGAGGGAGAGUCUACAAAAUAACUGGUCUGUACUCUUCAAAAAUGCCAGUGUCGAGAGAAAGACAGACUCAGGAAACUGUUCCACUUCACAGGAGACUGAAGACACAAGAUGACUUAAUUCAAAUCUUGGAUUGUUUUUGCUGUAAAAGACAUUGUUGGGACAAUUGACAAAAAUCUUAAUAAGCUCUGUAGAUUAGGUAAUAACAUUGUUUCAUUGUUAAUUUCCUGGUUUUGAUCAUUGUCCUAUGGUCACGCAAGGGAAUUCAUGCUUUUAGGAAAUACAGACAAAAGGUCAUCAUAUCUGUGGCUUACUCUUAGAUGGGCAUGAGAGCAAAUGAUGGAAAUGAUGGAAAUGCUCCAUAUCUUGACUGUGGUGGUGGUUACAAUGGUUACACGAACGCACCUAUUUGUCAAAGUUCAUCAAACUUAAAUGCAUGAAUUUUAUUGUUUGUAACCAUACCUCAAUCAAUAAAGCUGAUUUUUUAAAAAUGCUUUUCAUUUUGAUAUUGUAUAUUAUUUUGUGAAGUAACUACUCAAGUAAUAAGUCAUAUGAACUAAUUUUCUGGGUUUUAUGUGUAUAAUUUUGUGUUGAUUGAUUGAUUGCCUAAUCUGAUGCAUGAAAUUCAAUAAAUUGUCACUGAACUGUUAGAAGCUCACUGUCUCCAUUGUGUCAUUUUAUCUCAUCUAUUGUAAGUAGUUUGCAACUAGGCAUGCGAGUUCUCAUUCAAAUCUUGCUUGCUUUUUUUUUUAAAGAUAUUAUUUUUCCUUUUUGUCCCUGAAGGCCCCCGGUACACAGUUGUAUAUUUGUAGCUGUGGGUCCCUCUAGUUGUGGCAUGUGGGACACAGCCUCAGCACGGCUUGAUGAGUGGUGCCAUGUCCGCCCCCAGGAUCCGAACCGGCGAAACCCUGGGCCGUCGAAGCAGAGCACGCGAACUUAACCACUCAGCCACGGGGCCGGCCCCUCUUGCUUGCUUUUUAAAGAGCUGAAAAUAUUUUCUGUCUAAAAACAUUUCUUCUUGCCAAUAAAAGAUAUAUUCAACAG
rnacentral:lncRNA from 1 species